rnacentral:rRNA from 1 species
AACGAACGCUGGCGGCGUGCUUAACACAUGCAAGUCGAACGAGAAAAUCCUGGCUUGCCAGGAUGAGUAAAGUGGCGCACGGGUGCGUAACGCGUGGGAAUCUGCCCUUGGGUUCGGAAUAACAGUUAGAAAUGACUGCUAAUACCGGAUGAUGUCUUCGGACCAAAGAUUUAUCGCCCAAGGAUGAGCCCGCGUAGGAUUAGGUAGUUGGUGGGGUAAAGGCUCACCAAGCCGACGAUCCUUAGCUGGUCUGAGAGGAUGAUCAGCCACACUGGGACUGAGACACGGCCCAGACUCCUACGGGAGGCAG